UCAGUGGAUGCUUUGCAGGCCUAGAGUAGGAUCUGGUGUGAGCUCUGCCAUGGAUUUGUUGUGUGACCUCCAGCAAGCCCAGUGCCCUCUCUGGGUUCUUGGUUACUUGGUCAGUAAAUGCACAUUUGGACUAAAUGGGUGUGUGAGACACCCCCUAGCCUUCAAUGCCCUGGACCCCCAGCCUUACUUUGCAACGACCUAGGAAGAGAUACCAUAGAUAGGGGCACAGAAGCAGUGGGCAUGCCAGGGGACUUCAGAACAGCUGGGGGAGGGGUCAGAUUGCAGGGUGGGGCCCAGAGGACGGCUCACACCCUGGGAAGGGAGCUGAGGACAGUCCCAGCCCUGGGAGGGGCAGACAGCUGGCAGACAGGGUCGAGUUGCGGGGCAGGCCUUGGAGCUGGGAACAGCUGGGAGAGUUUUGUACACUCCUCGCCCAUCCCUGGUUCUGUGUGCUCCAAGUGCCAUCAAGGCCCUGGGGACCUCAGCUCCCCCACCCCCUGGCUUCUGGGCCACUCCCCAGUGACUGUCUCCUCAGUAAGGCAGGAGGGAACCUCUAAGAAAAAGCUGGCAACAGGUGCAUGGGUGGGAUGGCAAGAGUGAGAGCCGGCCCUGAGUCCUGGACUUGCCACACUGUGCUGUGGGCUGGCUGGCCUCAGCCUCGGUGCCCGAGGGUGGUUAUGGACCUACAGAAGAUGUGCAGGGCCUGAGAGCAGCCAUCUGCAUUAGGUGGGGCAGGGAGAGCGGGCCUGGCCUCUGUGCUCAGCAGCCCAGGCAGUGUCACCCACCCCCGGUGACACAGCCCGCCCUGCUCCCAAGAUCUCAGGCCAGGAAGGGUCUGCCCAUCACAGGGAGCAGGACUUCUUGCCACCCUAAGGGCCCAGGGAGCAGAUGUGGCCCACUCUUCCCACCCCGACCAACCCUGCCACACCGACGCCAUCUUCCCGGGUUUGCCAUCCAGUGCUGAGAGCAUCUCUCUAAAGGCCCCUAAGCUCCCCUAACCUAAGGCCUUGGCUUGCCAGGAGUGUCAUGGGGAGCAACGCACAGACCUGUGGGUGCCCAGCAUCAGAAGACACACUUUAGGGUCACACCUGUGGCCUUGGCCUAAGUGGGUUAGAGGAGCGUCUGGCCACACCCUGGACUUAGGGCUGCAAGCUCCGGGGUGGCCCUUGGCCUCCUUAGAAGUCCAAGCUGCUCUCUUGGAGCAGUGGCACCUGGUUCCCAAGGUUACUGUGCCUGGGAGGUCCCUUCCCAGUAGCAACCACAGCCUAGAACACUGCCCACAGCCUGGCCCUCUAGAAUGGCCCCGCCCAGCUGCUUUUGAUCUUUGUUGAACUAAAGUCAGCUGAGCCCCGCUAGGGAGCCAGGAGCGCCAGGCCCAGAAAAGCAGCAGCCGCAGCCGUAGACAUGUCCAAGAUGUUUUCUGGUGGUGCAUCUUCAGCAGGGAGGCGGGAAGGGAACAGGUGUGGGCAGGCAGAGCUGAGCAGGGGUGCAGGAGGCCGCCUCCGGGCCCCAGAUGGCAUCUCAACUGUGGGAAGAGUCCCCCUGCCCUGGUCCUGCCCAGCAGGCUGGUGGCCACCUGAAGCAACUGUCAGGCUCUGGCCGUUGACUCUUCCUGCUGGACUGAACUCAUGGCCAAGAGUUCGUUUUGGGGGAGCUCCUUUUUGUCUCCCCCAAAAUGGCCUCCUUUAUUUCCACCCUCAAGCUGCUGGGCCCCGGCUGGCCUCACGUUGGAGGGGCAGAACUGUAGCCACAGUGGCACCUGCCAGAUACCUAAGCUGGGGCUGGAUACCAGGUGAAGCUCUUACACAUCGUGUCAAGGCAUCUUGGCAGCCACCCCAGGGCCGCUCCUUAGGUAGCCCUCGCUUUGCAGAUGAGGAAACAGUCACAUGCUCAAGUCACACCGCUAGGAAGCGGUGGAGUUAUGGUUGGGUCCAGGUCUGUCUAGAUCCUGUGCUCUGCCAGUGCCUGCACCCCCCUUCCCGGCCCCGCCGAUUGGCAUCUUUUCAUAAACUUGAAGGGCCCCAAGACUCUCUGCUUAGCUGAGCAGCCCACAGUCUUCCUGAGACCCCUUCCCAGGUCCACCAGGCCUCAGGGCCUGGAAACAGAUACUUCCUAGCCCACAUGGAUCUGCUCCUCCAAACCAGUGAGGCCAAAGGGAGGGAGCAGAACAUUUCAUGAGACACUGCUGGAGGGUGAGUAGGAACAGGACAGGAGCCCAAGGGGAUCUCAUCGCCAGGGGCAAGCUAAGCACUGGGCUUGACAGGGACAGCAAGGCUACCGCAUUGCACCAUUAUAGGGAGCAUCAUGCACACUAGCUGUGCAGUGCACAACCUGUGUUGCUGUACAGAGCAACUGGAGAGGGUGGCAGCAACAGGAAUGUAGGAGCUGUAGGCAUGUCCAGUGGUGAGACCGGCAUUCCUCCUCCCAGGGACAGUGAGUGACUGCAGGCCUUGGGGCCCCAACACUCAAAAACAAAUGUCCUGCCAAGUGGAGGGCCCGGCAGAGGCUCUUCAGCAAUUCCCAUUUUCCCCAGUCCUAGCCCUGCCUCUCAGAGAAAGGGCCAAGCUGCCACCUCCCCCUUCUCCCCAGACCCUGUUCCAGGCCCCAGCUGGCUUCCUGGCUGGCUGCUAGCCCUGGCUUUCACCCCAAAGGGAGCCACUCGUAAACAGGAAAUGCUUCCCAAUGCGAUGCCUGCUCUGGGCGCCAUCGCCAGCCCACAGGCCGAGGGCAAUAGCCAAGCAGCAGUGUUAGCUGUUCCCACCAACUGCGGAAGAGGGGGAUGCUCAGGGGCUUCCCAGCUCUGGGGCCCGCCAUGACGGAAGAGUUGCCAGGCCUGAGACAGACGCCCACAGGCCGAGCCCACCAGCCUGUGGCUCUGCCUCUGACCCCACUGCCCUCCAGCAGUAACCCCCCUGUGAGCUGAUCCCUGACACUGAGCAUUUCUGCUCCCUCUUCCCAGAGACAGUCUAAAGGCAGCCCCCAAGUCCCAGAAAGCUGACUCCCCUAGCAUCGACUACGCAGAGCUGCUGCAGCACUUUGAGAAGGUCCAGAACAAGCACCUGGAAGUGCGGCACCAGCGGAGCGGGCGUGGGGACCACCUGGACCGGAGGGUUGUCCUCUGACAGGCCUGGCACGGAGGAGGGCCCACCGAGUGGUCCCAUGAAACACUAAGGGUCGUCACGCCCUCCCGAGGAGCUCAAGGACCUGCCUGUCAGGACCAGGGCUGGGCCUGCCAACCCAGGGCAGUGUUGGGGCCGGAGGCUGCUGUGUCUGCCCAAGCUCCUCUCAGAGUCCAGUCCCCAGGCCUCCAGCGCUGUCAGCUGCACCCUGGCAUUCUCACAGAGCUGGCUGCCCACCCAGUGGGGGGCUAUAGCCUCAGAGACCACUCAUCCUCUGGAAUCAACCUCUUUCUAAUACCCUCUUGGAAAAAGAGCUUGCCCCUCCUCCAGCACACUAGAGCUCUGGCCUUGUGUGUAUAUGUAUACAUACGUGAACACAUGCCUGUGUGUGUGUGUGUGUGUGUGUACUUGUAUGCACGUAGGCACCAGCACAAAGAUCUGAAUGAUGCACCCCACCCCCACCCCAAUAAAGAAAUAACAGAAAACCCUC
rnacentral:lncRNA from 1 species